rnacentral:sRNA from 1 species
GAAGGUAAAAAAAAAGAGAGAGGUCUGAGAAAUAGAAAUAUCAGAGGAAGGAAAUAAAGGAGGGUGAGAGUAAAUUCUCUUUUAGCAUUCAGAUUCCGCAGAUUCCACAAAUCACAUUUCUUUUUUUACCAACUAAGGAAAAAUAACACUUGACCUAACAUUUCAUUGCAGUUAGCUAAAGGAUGCUAGAAAAGCUAUGUUUCAGUGAUUUGCUCUAAUUUCUUCAGGAAUAGAGAAAAGUGACAAAAAGAUCAGAGAGGAGAAGAAAGGAAACUAUCAGAAAAAUGCAGAAUUGGAGUAAGAUAUAACAUAUUUGGGUUUACCUAAGGUAAAAUUUUAUAUUGUAAUCUUAAGUAUCUUGCUACUUCAGUUUGGUUCCUGGAACAGCAGCAUCAGAAUCUGCUGAGGGCUUGUUAAAAAGGCAGAAUCUCAGGUCCCAUCCCAGACUCACUGAAUCAGAAUAUAAAUACUGACAAGAUGCCCCGGGAUUCAUAUGCACAGUAGAGCUGUAGCCUGUUGUAGCCUGUUGUAGCCUGUGGUAGCCUGUGUUGUAGCCUGUGAUUGUUUUCUGCAACUUAGUAUUUCUGAGUUUUCCCAAGGAAGAAAACCCAGGCCUUAGCUUCUGGCAGACUUGUGUUUCUCCUUUACUUACUAGCUGCAUGACUCAUGAGCAAGGAAAUCAAACUUUAUGUGCCUCAGUUUCCUCAUCUAUAAAAUGGAGACUAUAAUAAUCAUCUCCUAGGCUUGUUUUGAGGAUGUUCAAUAAAUGCUCCUUUCAUUCCUCUAUUUAUAGACCUGCCGCAGACAAUUCUGCUAGCAGCCUUUGUGCUAUUAUCUGUUUUCUAAACUUAGUAAUUGAAUGUUAUCUGGAGACUAACUCUGAAAUACAUAAGCUGAUUAUUUAUUUAUUUUCUCAAAACAACAGAAUACGGUUUAGCAAAUUACCUCUUAAGAUAUUAUUUUACAUUUCUAUAUUCUCCUACCCUGAGUUGAUGUGUGAGCAAUAUGUCACUUUCAUAAAGCCAGGUAUAUAUUAUGGACAAGUAAGUAAAAAACAUAUUAUUUAUUCUACGUUUUUGUCCAAGAAUUUUAAAUUUCAACUGUUGCUCGUGUGUUGGUAAUGUAAAACAAACUCAGUACAGUAGUAUUCAGUACAGUAUUUAAGCCCCUGUACUUAAACAUAUUCCUCAUACCAAUGAAGUUACAUGAAAAGCAAAUUUGUGUGGGAUAUUGUAGAUGGAAGUAAAUUAGUCUUUAUGUUCCCCACAAAUUGAAAUGCAUUUCAAAAACUCUGUGUGUGUAUGUGUGUGUGUGACAGAGUGUGUGUGAGAGAGAGACAGAGAGAGAGAUACGCUUUGCUUGCCUCCAUAAGCUGGCUGCUAUGAUUAAUAAGACCAAGUUUUCUAAAGAAAAUGAGAUCAUAACAAAAGCCCUCUUUAUGCCUAUCUUUUAUCAGGGGCAAAAAGGAAAGAGACAAAACAGCAUGAAAUGAUGAGACCAAGUGAUGAAAAUUCAUUCACAAUGAUUACUUUCAAGAGUAAUUUCUCUUGGGUAAUUCAGCCGCCUGUUACUAUGGCUCUCUGGAGUGAUAGCUAAUGUAAAUGAAGCCUCUAAAAGUGGAUUAUCCUGACAAGAAUAUACUCAGCCAAUAAUGCAACAGAAAUCCAUUCAAAGCAUUCGGGAAAAAUUCAAAAGAAUAAAUAUUCUUUUUUUUUUUUUUAAAGUUAAUGGCCUACGAUCCAUUUCUUCCCUGACUAACAAGCAGCAAGCACUUAAAAAUAUCCAGCCAGGAUGAAAUAGAAACCCACCUGACUUGUUAAUAUUUUUGUUUGGUCCCAGGGACUCAGAUUCUAAGCCAAAUUCUUUGAGUGAUCUUGGCAAAUGUCUCAAAUUAUUUUGGCCAACUUUUCUUUAUCUUGGAAAAAAAAGUUUCAUGAAUGGGUGUCAAGGGAUCCAAAAUUGAUUAGUUUUAAAAAACUUUCUUGCAGAUAUGUAUGGCACCCUAAAAAUGUAUUAGAAAAAAAGUAAGUACUCUGUAGUGUGAAAAAUUCUUAAAGGACAUCCUCUUUUACAAACUCGCAAAAACAGCCUUUGGAAUACCCACAUGAAGUAGCUGUUGUUUUUGCUUUCUAUAUACCUACAUCUUGGCUAUCAUAAAAAGACAGGUUUUCGGCCAGGUGUGGUGGCUCAUGCCUGUAAUCCCAGCACUUUGGGAGGCCAAGGUGGGUGGAUCACCUGAGAUCAGGAGUUCAAGACAAGCCUGGUCAACAUGGUGAAACCCAGUGUUUACUAAAAAUACAAAAAUUAGCCGGGUGUGGUGACGGGCGCCUGUAGUCCCAGCUACUCGGGAAGCUGAGGCAGGAGAAUCACUUGAACUCAGGAGUCAGAGGUUGCAGUGAGCUGAGAUCAUGCCACUGCACUCCAGCCUGGGCGACAGAGCAACACUCCAUCUCAAAAAAAAAAAAAAAAAA